rnacentral:rRNA from 2 species
CUUAGUGGUGGGGUGACUGCGUACCUUUUGUAUAAUGGGUCAGCGACUUAUAUUCUGUAGCAAGGUUAACCGCAUAGGGGAGCCGGAGGGAAACCGAGUCUUAAUUGGGCGUUAAGUUGCAGGGUAUAGACCCGAAACCCGGUGAUCUAGCCAUGGGCAGGUUGAAGGUUGGGUAACACUAACUGGAGGACCGAACCGACUAAUGUUGAAAAAUUAGCGGAUGACCUGUGGCUGGGGGUGAAAGGCCAAUCAAACCGGGAGAUAGCUGGUUCUCCCCGAAAGCUAUUUAGGUAGCGCCUCGUGAAUUCAUCUCCGGGGGUAGAGCACUGUUUCGGCCAGGGGGCCAUCCCGGCUUACCAAUCCGAUGCAAACUGCGAAUACCGGAGAAUGUUAUCACGGGAGACACACGGCGGGUGCUAACGUCCGUCGUGAAGAGGGAAACAACCCAGACCGCCAGCUAAGGUCCCAAAGUCAUGGUUAAGUGGGAAACGAUGUGGGAAGGCCCAGACAGCCAGGAUGUUGGCUUAGAAGCAGCCAUCAUUUAAAGAAAGCGUAAUAGCUCACUGGUCGAGUCGGCCUGCGCGGAAGAUGUAACGGGGCUAAACCAU